AAGCAGGGGAUCGUAAGACCUUGCGCUUUUGGAGCGGCCGAUGCCUGAUUAGCUAGUUGGUGGGGUAAGGGCCUACCAAGGCAACGAUCAGUAGUUGGUCUGAGAGGACGACCAGCCACACUGGGACUGAGACACGGCCCAGACUCCUACGGGAGGCAGCAGUGGGGAAUUUUGGACAAUGGGCGAAAGCCUGAUCCAGCAAUGCCGCGUGAGUGAAGAAGGCCUUCGGGUUGUAAAGCUCUUUCAGUCGAGAAGAAAAGGUUGUGACUAAUAAUCACAACUUAUGACGGUACCGACAGAAGAAGCACCGGCUAACUACGUGCCAGCAGCCGCGGUAAUACGUAGGGUGCGAGCGUUAAUCGGAAUUACUGGGCGUAAAGGGUGCGCAGGCGGCUUUGUAAGUCAGAUGUGAAAUCCCCGGGCUUAACCUGGGAAUUGCGUUUGAAACUACAAGGCUAGAGU
rnacentral:rRNA from 1 species